rnacentral:rRNA from 1 species
UAGGGAAUUUUCCACAAUGGGCGAAAGCCUGAUGGAGCGACGUCGCGUGAUGGACGAAGUGCUUCGGCACGUAAACAUCUUUUAUGUGGGAUGAAAUUAUUGACAGUACCACAUGAAUAAGGGGCUCCUAACUCUGUGCCAGCAGGAGCGGUAAUACAGAGGCCCCAAGCGUUAUCCGGAAUCACUGGGCGUAAAGGGUGUCGAGGCGGUUGUAUUAGUCGUUCGUAAAAUCUACGAGCUUAACUUGUAGGCGGCGAACGAAACGGUACGACUUGAGGUUUGGAGAGGUGCGUGGAACUCACGGUGUAGGGGUGAAAUCCGUUGAUAUCGUGGGGAACACCAAAGGCGAAGGCAGCGCACUGGCCAAAAUCUGACGCUCACACACGAAAGCUAGGGUAGCGAAGAGGAUUAGAUACCCUUGUAGUCCCUGAGCGGGCUGGCAAGGCGCAU